GGGACCGGCUCGGCUCUCGUGUGGGCCUAGCGAUGGGCUUCUCGAUAGAGGCGAAUGUUCAUCAGAAGACAAAUUGUAUGUGGCUUUAGUCAAUAAGCAUGCCACGGAACAGGAAAUUUAAGAAGGAUCUGCUUCGUGAAGUUCUUAAAUAGAGAGAUGGCAGCGGCAGCUAUUGGUGCCCUGCACAGAACUUAUGUGGGAUGUAAUCAACUAUUAGUCGUUUGGUUUGCUUAUCCUACGGAGCCCAGUAGGCCCAGGAUUGAACCAAGGAGUGGUCCUGCAUUUGAGGUUCCUGGUCUUGGUCAUCGCUUCGAAAUGACAACACUAAUCAGGCCAACAGCCAUAUUUGAAAA